GAUCGAGUGCUUUCUCAUUAUAGAGAUGAUAGGAAUUUGAUGAAACCCAAUUUUCGAGUUCAAAUACUAAUAUAGUCCCGUUUUCUUCUUCUUCCAAAUCUUUUCGCUUUUUUUUUUGUUUUUCCUGUUUGGCGGGUUUUGUGAGACAGCCGGCAGGGGCCGAGCGGAUGUGGAUUGCAACCACGAACACACGUACAGUACAUUUUUUGGGUUGUUUUUUUUUUGUGAAAAAUGUGUGCCACCAGACAAUGUCCAGACACAAAGUCCAAGGGUGUGCGUCCAAGUUUUGAGGGACGGAGGGGGGGGGGGGGCUGCUGCCGCUCAAUUGAACGCCUACGCCUCGCUCGACUGGGUACCUCCUCUACUAUAUAGACUGGUGCUGGCUGGCAGUCAAAAUACAAGUCGGCGUAUUAUAUUUCGACAUUGAUGCAGAGCUAUAGCGCCACGGCCGCGCGCGGCACCCUCUCAUUUCACGAGCGAGUUUCACUGUGUGGGGGGUGUUUGUUUGCGUCUAUUGUAUACCGACACUAUAUAGCGGUAAUAAUAAGUGAAUGAACGAAAAACGAUGGGUUCAACCGUCAGUAUUAUAAGACAAGGAAAAGGGAAACUCCCCACCGAAAAGUAAUAAUAACAGAUUUGACUGUCGGAGAAAAUGGCAACGCAGACACAACAGAAACCCAAAGAAAGCCAACAACUCGUAAAAGAUCAAAGAAGUACAAAUAUAGAAGAAAAUAUUUAAUAUCUAAAAGCUCCUCUCUGGAGAACUUUUCGAGAGAUAUGAGAACCAAAAAAAAAGAAAUACUCAACGGGGUGUGAUAUUCUUUGAUUGGGUGUGCCGGGUUGUCAACACGAUGACAGGGAUGAACCAGACGCAUAUACAUUUAUAAUCCCAGGUCUUUGGCAUUCCAUCAU